rnacentral:rRNA from 1 species
GAAAGUAAAGAAGGGCGCAUGGCGGAUGCCUUGGCUCUCGGAGGCGAUGAAGGACGUGAUAAGCUGCGAUAAGCUUUGGGGAGGUGCAAAUGACCUUUGAUCCAGAGAUUUCCGAAUGGGACAACCCAAUAUCUUGAAGAGGUAUUAUCCAACGUUGUUGGAGGCUAACGCAGGGAACUGAAACAUCUUAGUACCUGCAGGAAAAGAAAAUAAACAAUGAUUCCCCCAGUAGUGGCGAGCGAACGGGGAACAGCCCAAACCAUCCAUGUUACGGCAUGGGUGGGGUUGUAGGACUACGCCGUUGCAUGAAGACAUCAGAGAAGAACUUUCUGGAAAGAAAGACCAUAGAGCAUGACAGUUGCGUAUUCGAAUGUUGUCGAAGCAUAGUAGUAUCCUGAGUAGCGCGGAGCACGAGGAAUUCUGCGUGAAUCUGCCGGGACCAUCCGGUAAGGCUAAAUACUCCCGAGAGACCGAUAGCGAACCAGUACCGUGAGGGAAAGGUGAAAAGCACUUCGAACAGAAGAGUGAAAUAGUUCCUGAAACCGUGCGCCUACAAGCGGUCGGAGCUCGUUAAUGAGUGACGGCGUGCCUUUUGCAUAAUGAACCUACGAGUUGCCUUUGCCGGCAAGGUUAAGUGUGACGACACACGUAUCCGAAGCGAAAGCGAGUCUGAACAGGGCGUAUAGUCGGCAGUGGCAGACGCGAAACCAAGUGAUCUACCCUUGGCCAGGUUGAAGGCUGGGUAACACCAGCUGGAGGACCGCACCAAUAAGCGUUGAAAAGCUUCUGGAUGAGCUGAGGGUAGGGGUGAAAGGCUAAUCAAACUUGGAGAUAGCUCGUACUCCCCGAAAUGCAUUUAGGUGCAGCCUUGCGGGUUACUGAUGUGAGGUAGAGCGACUGAUAAGAUGCGAGGGCUUCACCGCCUAUCAAGUCUUGACAAACUCCGAAUGCGCAUCAGUCCUACCGCAGGAGUGAGGGCAUGGGUGCUAAGGUCCGUGCCCGAGAGGAGAAGAAUCCGGACCACCUGCUAAGGUCCCGAAAUGACAGCUAAGUUAAACUAACGAAGUCUGACUGCUAAGACAGCUAGGAUGUUGGCUUGGAAGCAGCCAUUCAUUUAAAGAGUGCGUAACAGCUCACUAGUCGAGGAGUCUGGCGUGGAUAAUAAUCGGGUAUUAAGUUGUCUACCGAAGCAGUGGGAUCAUUGAAAUGAUCGGUAGGGGAGCAUUCCAGUCAGCGUCGAAGGCGUACCGCGAGGUAUUCUGGAGCGUCUGGAAAAGCAAAUGUAGGUAUAAGUAACGAUAAAGGGGGCGGGAAACCCCCUCGCCGAAAGACUAAGGUUUCCUGAUCAACGCUAAUCGGAUCAGGGUAAGUCGGGUCCUAAGGCUCAGCCGAACGGCGAGGCCGAUGGCAGAACCGGUUAAUAUUCCGGUACUACCUGUGGGAGUGACGUGGAGACGGAGUCGUGACAGCGCCGCGGACUGACGGAAUAGUCCGUUGAAGGGUGUAGAUGCUGAUUGUUCCAGGCAAAUCCGGAGCAAGAGUCGAACCUGAUAGUAUGGAGCGUUCUUAGAACAAUCCAAUAGUGCGUGUAAUCAUACUUCCAAGAAAAUCCGCUAAACUUAAUCCUGCAGGUACCCGUACCGCAAACGGACACACGUAGUCGGGAUGAAUAUUCUAAGGCGCUUGAGUGAUUCACGGUUAAGGAACUAGGCAAACUGACCCUGUAACUUCGGGAUAAAGGGUCCCUACCCUUUUAUGGGAGGGCGCAGAGAAUCGGUCCAGGCAACUGUUUAACAAAAACACAGGGCUGUGCCAAAUCGAAAGAUCCAGUAUACAGCCUGACACCUGCCCGGUGCUGGAAGGUUAAGAGGAGAUGUCAUCGAUAAGAGAAGCGUUGAAUUGAAGCCCCAGUAAACGGCGGCCGUAACUAUAACGGUCCUAAGGUAGCGAAAUUCCUUGUCGGGU